GACAGAGGUUGCAAGCGUUGUUCGGAAUUACUGGGCAUAAAGCGCGCGUAGGCGGUCCGCUAAGUCAUGUGUGAAAUCCCCCGGCUCAACCGGGGAAUGGCGCCUGAUACUGGCGGACUUGAGAUCGGUAGGGGUGAGUGGAACUCCAGGUGGAGCGGUGAAAUGCGUAGAUAUCUGGAGGAACACCGGUGGCGAAAGCGACUCACUGGACCGACACUGACGCUGAGGCGCGAAAGCUAGGGUAGCAAACGGG
rnacentral:rRNA from 1 species